AUGCAUUUUUUGGUAACUUUGAAUGCAACAAAAAAUUUGGACCGGACUGUUGUGUCGUUGAGACGGGCCUCCGAAUUGCACUCCUCCAAGCCCGUUACCAUUCUUUUUCUUGAGCCUUUUGCCUUAACAAAAAUUUGCUUGUUGAACUAUUGUUUUAGGCUCAAUCUUGAUGGGCCUCAACGCCCAGAUUGCUACACUACACGCCAUGUUUCCAUCUUACACCUCUCCAACCUUAUUAAAUUUUAUUUUCUUGAUUUUUGUAAUUUUUUCACAUUUUUCUUUACUUAA